rnacentral:rRNA from 1 species
CAGUCGCCGCGGUAAUACGUAGGUGGCAAGCGUUGUCCGGAAUUAUUGGGCGUAAAGGGCUCGCAGGCGGUUUCUUAAGUCUGAUGUGAAAGCCCCCGGCUCAACCGGGGAGGGUCAUUGGAAACUGGGAAACUUGAGUGCAGAAGAGGAGAGUGGAAUUCCACGUGUAGCGGUGAAAUGCGUAGAGAUGUGGAGGAACACCAGUGGCGAAGGCGACUCUCUGGUCUGUAACUGACGCUGAGGAGCGAAAGCGUGGGGAGCGAACAGGAUUAGAUACCCCAGUAGUCCUGUCUCUUAUACA